GCCAGGCGUGGUGGCGCAGGCCUGUAAUCACAGUGGCUCAGGAGGCUGAGACAGGAGAAUCGUGAGUUCAAAGCCAGCCUUAGUAAUGGUGAGAUGUUAAGCAACUCAGUGAGACCCUGUCUCUA
rnacentral:sRNA from 1 species